UCGGGGCUCCCCAUUUCGUCAGGACUUUGCACAUCCCGGGGCUCGAGGCCCCACGGCGACGCCUCCCGUUCCAUCCCCGCCGGCUCCCAGUGCGGCGGCAGUGGCGAUGGCGGACGAUCCUGCGACCCGGUCUGAGUGCCCCGAGACCCGGGCCCUCGCCGCCCGCCCGCUUAGCGCCACCCAGGGGACCCGGCUGUCCAGCCCCGGCCCCUGAGGCCGGACGUCUUGACCCUGGGCCUCUCCGGCCCGCUGGGCCCCUCCCCUAUCCGCGGCCCCGCCCCCACCCACAAGGUCUCGGCUUGCCCUGGGGUCCUCACAGGCCCCCACACGUCGUGACCUCGGAGAUGAGAGACUUCACGACUCCCCUUGCCGCCCCCGGAUACCGCUCCCCGCCCGGGACCCCGACGUCUGGCCUCCCAGCCCCCGGGUGGGCUGCGGCUGGCCGUCCCCCUCCCUCCGCACAGGAAGUGUCCGUCCGCGGCCAGUUUCCCCCACUGGCUAGCGCCGCGGCCUCUCUAGGAGCGACUGGAGGUGGAAACUCGUUGGCAUUAACCCUGGGCUGGAUGGCCCCGGCGUCGAGGUAGGCGAGGACUGGGCGCCCUGGAGCCGGCGGGAGAAGCUGGGACAGUUUGUAUGCCUAUGUCCUAGGUCCUGUCCUCCCGGGGGCCUAUACGUCCGUCUCCCGGCCCUGCGUCCGUCAGUGCCUGUGGCCAAGGGCGAGGCAACAAGCGAGACCAAGACAAAGGAAAGGAGGAAACUACUUAGGAGGAAAGAUGGCAUCUUCCAUUCUCCUGAAAGGAGAUGAGAACAAGAAUUUGGAGAAUUCCAAAGGAGAAAAGGCUGGAGAGAUGCGAUCUCAGUUCUCAGUAGAGGCUUACAGACAGAAUCACAGAUAGAGAUACCUUCCUACAAAUAAAGCAGGAGUCCUUUUCUGCCCUC